UACGUAGGGGGCAAGCGUUGUCCGGAAUCAUUGGGCGUAAAGAGCGUGUAGGCGGCCCGGUAAGUCCGCUGUGAAAGUCCAGGGCUCAACCCUGGGAUGCCGGUGGAUACUGUCGGGCUCGAGUCCGGAAGAGGAGUGUGGAAUUCCUGGUGUAGCGGUGAAAUGCGCAGAUAUCAGGAGGAACACCAAUGGCGAAGGCGGCCAUCUGGACGGAUACUGACGCUGAGACGCGAAAGCGUGGGGAGCAAACAGG
rnacentral:rRNA from 1 species